rnacentral:rRNA from 1 species
GUAGGUGGCAAGCGUUGUCCGGAAUUAUUGGGCGUAAAGCGCGCGCAGGUGGUUCUUUAAGUCUGAUGUGAAAGCCCCCGGCUCAACCGGGGAGGGUCAUUGGAAACUGGGGAACUUGAGUGCAGGAGAGGAAAGUGGAAUUCCACGUGUAGCGGUGAAAUGCGUAGAUAUGUGGAGGAACACCAGUGGCGAAGGCGACUUUCUGGCCUGUAACUGACACUGAGGCGCGAAAGCGUGGGGAGCAAACAGGGAUUAGAUACCCUGGUAGUCCACGCCGUAAACGAUGAGUGAUAAGUGUUGGGGGGGUUUCCGCCCCCUCAGUGCUGCAGCUAACGCAUUAAGCACUCCGCCUGGGAGUACGGUCGCAAGACUG